AUGGCUCCUCGUCCCAUCCCCGCUUGGCUUCGCGGUAGAUGUUACAGAUGCUUCGCUCAUGGUCAUUGUGCGGCUGUUUGCAAAGAGCCAUUGCGGUGCUCCUGUUGUUUGGAGAAUGGUCAUCGUGCGCGUGGAUGUUGCAACCCAUGGCGUCCUCUAAGCUCACUGCCAUGCAAUGAUGUGCCGCUCGUGUCGCAGCUCGACGCCGUGCAUCGUCCUGCUCUUGCUUCAUGUGAGGGUCCGACGAGAUCCGCACUCCCAUCCAAGGCGCUUCAUCGUGGGUCUUGGGCGUCUGUCGUCUCUGGUACCGUUGGCUCACCAACCUCGUCGGAGCUGAUGUUGUAG
rnacentral:rRNA from 1 species